rnacentral:rRNA from 1 species
UUCUAUGUUCACGCCUCCCUGAACAAUCCCGAUCCUGUCUGACUUAUAUCAAAAGCUAAGCAGGGUCGGGCUUGAUUAGUACUUGGAUGAGAGACCACCUAGGAAGAUCAGAUGCUGUAGGCG